rnacentral:tRNA from 1 species
AAGAAAAUAGUUUAUUUUAAAACAUAGAAUUGUCAUUUCUAAAAAAUUGUAUUCAAUUUUUCUUG